rnacentral:lncRNA from 1 species
UUUAUUACAGGUACUGAUAACGCAAAAGAACUAGUUACCUCUUCACGAGUGGGGGAUAUAUCAAAAGCUUGCUUCUACAAUGGCCAAUCGCGAUUUAAUGCUAGGACAGAACCACAACAUCGGUAUAACCCAAGAUCAAUCACUGGUCCUCGGUCACAACCACACUCUAGAACUUGGUCAAAACCACGACAUGGGCUUAGAACAAUCUCAUCACGGUGAUCACCAACUUGACUUAACACAUCAACACGAAGAAGAUCACGAGCUAGGCUUAGGAGUACACAACGAAAACCAAGACGAAGAAGAACAUCACCACCAUCAUCACGAUUACAUGAACGAGAACGAACUCUCAAUUGAUCAAAAGCCUGGACACGAAGACGAAGACGUUGAUCCAGAGAACCAAAUGUUCUCCUUAUCCGGCACCAACGAGAACCUCGAGCUAGCCAUCGACUCAACCCACGAGAUCGAAAUCGACCACCACGGCGAGAUGGUAAUGGUCACCACCCCCGUCCAAGCCCGCGCCCUCUCCGCCGAGUCAACCUACCAGCUAACCGUCGGGCAAGAGUUCCCAGACGUCAAGAGCUGCCGCAGAGCGCUAAGAGACAUGGCCAUCGCUCAGCACUUCGAAAUGCAGACCAUAAAAUCAGACAAAACACGAUUUACAGCCAAAUGCUCUACCGAAGGAUGCCCGUGGAGAGUCCACGCAGCUAAGCUCCCGGGCGUCCCGACGUUCACGAUCCGUACCAUCCACGAAAGCCACACCUGCGGAGGGAUCAACCACUUGGGCCACCAGCAGGCCUCCGUCCAGUGGGUGGCCACCUCCGUGGAGCAGCGUCUCCGCGAGAAUCCCAACUGCAAACCUAAAGAGAUUCUCGAGGAGAUACACCGCGUCCACGGCAUCACGUUAUCCUACAAGCAAGCGUGGCGCGGUAAAGAGAGGAUCAUGGCCACCAUGCGCGGCUCAUUCGAGGAAGGCUACAGGCUACUCCCUCAGUACUGCCACCAGGUCAAGAGGACGAAUCCUGGAAGCAUCGCUUCGGUAUACGGUUAUCCGUCCGACGACUGCUUCCAGCGUCUCUUCAUAUCCUUCCAAGCUUCCAUCUACGGGUUCCUAAACGCCUGCCGCCCGCUUAUUGGUCUAGACAGAACCUAUCUCAAAAGCAAGUACUUGGGGACGCUGCUUUUAGCGACCGGGUUCGACGGAGACGGCGCGUUGUUUCCGUUAGCGUUUGGGAUUGUAGACGAAGAAAACGACGAGAACUGGAUGUGGUUCUUGUGUGAGCUUCAUAAUCUUCUCGAAACCAACACCGAGAACAUGCCGAGGCUCACUAUACUAUCCGAUAGACAGAAGGGGAUAGUCGAAGGAGUUGAGCAGAACUUCCCAACGGCCUUUCACGGCUUCUGCAUGAGGCACUUAAGCGAGAGCUUCCGUAAGGAGUUUAACAACACGCUCUUAGUUAACUACCUCUGGGAAGCGGCUCAAGCUCUUACCGUGAUUGAGUUUGAAGCUAAACUACUUGAAGUGGAAGAAGCUUCUCAAGACGCUGCGUACUGGAUCAGACGUAUCCCUCCGAGGCUGUGGGCGACUGCCUACUUCGAAGGGCAAAGGUUUGGACACUUGACGGCUAAUAUAGUCGAGUCGCUGAACUCGUGGAUCGGCGAAGCGUCCGGGCUUCCGAUUAUCCAGAUGAUGGAAUGCAUCAGGAGGCAGCUGAUGACUUGGUUCAACGAAAGGCGGGAGACCAGCAUGCAGUGGACUUCGAUCCUCGUCCCAAGCGCCGAGCGCCGCGUCGCCGAGGCGCUCGAGCUAGCGAGGACACUUUAUUCCUUUUGUCAGACGUAUGCUGGUGGCUCUGUUGGUGGUUCUGUUAAGCUGAACCAUGGGCUUUGUGAUAUUGCUAUUAACUGGGCUGGUGGUCUUCAUCAUGCUAAGAAGUGUGAGGCCUCUGGCUUCUGCUACGUUAAUGAUAUCGUCUUAGCUAUCCUGGAGCUGCUUAAGCAACAUGAGGUUUGUCUCCUCCCUACUUACAGCUUUCUCCCAUAUUUAAAAUAACGAUUUAUACGAUUCAAACCAUUAUAGAACAUUUUAAACCGGUUUAAACUGUCUAAAUCGAUCUAAACUAGACUAAAUUUGUUAAAUUAACUAACAAUGUUAGUAUAAAUCCACAAAUUUGUAUAAUCGUCUUUUUUUUUGUAUAUCUAAUUUGGUAAUAGACCAUUCUAAGCCGGUUCAGACCGUUAGAAACCAUACUAAACCGGUUUAAACCGUUCUAAAUCGGUUUAAAUCAAUCUAAAUCUGACUAAAUUUGUUAAAUUAACAUACAUAUCCACAAAUUUGUAUAGCUUCUUUUGUUUUGUAUAUCUAAUUUUGAUAAUUCAUAAAACAAUUUUGUAAUUAAAACCAAAAAAAAACUAAAAUAUCUUAUAUCAGUGUAAAAUAUGUAUAAAAUAAAUCAACUAUUAGUAAUAAUCUGUUCUUUGCAAACAUUGUUGAACAUAAUCUAAUGUAUUUGUCUUUCUUCUUGUUUCUCAGCGUGUUCUGUACGUUGAUAUCGACAUUCACCACGGGGACGGAGUGGAGGAGGCGUUUUACGCCACCGACAGAGUCAUGACCGUCUCAUUCCAUAAGUUCGGAGACUACUUCCCCGGUACAGGCCACAUACAAGACAUUGGCUACGGAAGUGGAAAGUACUAUUCACUCAACGUACCACUGGACGAUGGUAUCGACGAUGAGAGCUAUCAUCUCUUGUUCAAACCCAUCAUGGGGAAAGUGAUGGAAAUUUUCAAACCAGGUGCGGUCGUACUCCAAUGCGGCGCUGACUCCUUGUCUGGCGAUAGGCUGGGAUGCUUUAACCUCUCCAUCAAAGGCCAUGCCGAGUGUGUCAAGUUCAUGAGAUCUUUCAACGUUCCGUUACUGCUCCUUGGUGGUGGUGGUUACACUAUCCGCAACGUUGCGCGUUGCUGGUGCUACGAGACUGGAGUUGCGCUUGGGAUCGAGGUUGAGGAUAAGAUGCCGGAGCAUGAGUACUAUGAGUACUUUGGUCCGGACUAUACGCUUCACGUUGCUCCGAGUAAUAUGGAGAAUAAGAACUCUCGGCAGAUGCUGGAAGUGAUUCGUAAUGACUUGCUUCAGAAUCUCUCGAAGCUGCAGCAUGCUCCUAGUGUGCCGUUUCAGGAAAGGCCGCCGGAUACUGAGACUCCUGAGGUAAUGUUUUUGGCUGCUAGCUUUACUUCUGUAGCUCAUUCUUUCUUGUGAGGUUAUUGAGUUUCUAAUUUAAACAGUUUAUUUUGCUACCAAUCUUAGUAUAUAUAUAUUUUUUUUAAUUUAAACAGUUUAUUUUGUCACCAAUCUUAGUAUAAUAUUUUCCUAAUUUAAACAGUUUAUUUUGCUACCAGUCUUAGUAUAUUUUUUUUCUAAUUUAAACAGUCUAUUUUGCUACCAAUCUUAGUAUAUAUAUUUUUUUCUAAUUUAAACAGUUUAUUUUGGCACCAAUCUUAGUAUAAUAUUUUCCUAAUUUAAACAGUUUAUUUUGCUACCAGUCUUAGUAUAUUUUUUUCUUCUAAUUUAAACAGUCUAUUUUGCUACCAAUCUUAGUAUAUAUAUUUUUUUCUAAUUUAAACAGUUUAUUUUGUCACCAAUCUUAAUAUAAUUUUUUCUAAUUUUAAUAGUUUAUUUUGCUACCAAUCUUAGUAUUAAUUUUGUGUAAAUUAACAGGUAGAUGAAGACCAAGAGGAUGGAGAUAAAAGAUGGGAUGCAGAUUCUGACAUGGAUGUAGAUGAUGAUCGGUAUGUAACAUCAAUGUUUUUUUGUUUCCGUGACAGUAGAGUUGUUUAUACUUAAUUUGCUAUCGGAUUGUGCAGCAAACCUAUACCAAGCAGAGUGAAGAGAGAAGCUGUUGAAUCUGAUGCAAAGGACAAGGUAAGCCAAGAGUAUCUCUUAUUUGCCUUGGUUUCUCAAACAUUGUUAUAAACAUUUAAACUCAUAUUUGUUGAAUUAUUCUCUUUUAGUACUGAAUCUUCUCUGAGAAAUGUGCCAAAAACAAAAUAUUAUCUUUCCAUCAGUCUAAAAUUAAAGUUAAAUCUGAACUGGAGAUGCAUUCACUCUGGCUAGGGAUCAAUACGUUUAGUCUAGUUAGAAUGGUUAAACAAAUGACUUGAGUAGCAGACGUGACAUGCUUGCUGAGCUGAAUCAUCUUGUGCAUCUCAAUUUCUUAUUCUUUGUGAAUUAUCUCUGGAUCCUAAUUUGAGUUUAGAAUGUGAUUGGCUUGGUUAGUUGAAGAGGUUGAUUUAGUCAUAACGUGUUAAUGCACAGGAUGGAGUGAAAGGAGUGAUGGAGCGUGGGAAAGGUUUUGAUGUGGGCAUGGAGGAGAGUGGAAGCACCACCAAGGUGAAGUGAAACAAUAAACCCGAGAGUUUGAGAUUGAUACUGAGAUUAAAACAAGUUGUCUAAAGUGGUUUGGUUUGGUUGCAGGUUUCAGGAGUAAACUCAGUGGGAAUGGAGGAAGCAGGUGUGAAAAUGGAAGAGGAAGGCACAACAAACAAGUCAGGGGGAGAUCAAGUGUUUCCUAAAACAUAAAAGAAGUCUUUCAUAACUUUUUAGUUUGUUUAUUGAUAAUUGAACGAACACGUACGAUGUGAUGUAUUUAGUCGUUGCAAAUGUGGCAUGCUUAAUGAUCACAAGACUGAGAUAAUUCUAUUUGUUAUGUAUGAAGUGUAUGGACUGCUUCUAUCAAACAGGACCAAUGGCAUCUCAUAACUAAAAUUUGUACUCUUUCAUCCCAUUACAUUCUUGUUUAGACAUAGACCAAAAGGAGAAGAAUGUUUGUGAACAAUGAUAAUCCAGACAGUUAAAAAAAUAGUCAUAAAUAUCUGAAGUUGGGCCUUUCUUACUUGGGCUGAAUCCUCUCUAGUUGGACUCUCUAAAUCUUUGAUGGCAAAACCGUAAAUAAUAGGAGACCGAAAGAGGGUAGACUAAGCGAUAGUAGUUGGGCCUUUCAUACUCGGCCCAAUUGUCUCUUUUGGACUGCGUUGAUGGCAAAUACGUAAAUAAUGGGAAACUAAAAGGGUAGAUUAAGCGAGAGGAAGUAAUAAAAAAGAUAAACAAAAAAAGGGAAAAAGACAUAACACUCCCUAUUGUUGUCGGAGAGAAGGCAAAGUUGUAGUUUGGCAUCAUCGCCCUCAGAGAAACCUAAUCUCUACCUCUUCUGCCCCUUCUGUAAUUCCCGAUCACACCCUUUUCUCUUCCCCCUUCUCCCCAUCAACGAUUUAUCCUUUGUUUUACCCGCCAAAUUCAACUUCCCAUCUCCAACGACUCAUUUCCCCCAAUUCGAUUCCCAAAUCGAAACCCUAGUUUUAAGAUUCACGGAGGCUUGGAUCUUCUCUUCUCUCUCGUUUCAGAAUUUUAAUCCUCGUGAGUUUCUCUGUUUCUGCAGUUGAAAAAGUUUCAAUUUUUGACAAUUCUGUUGUCUUCUUCUUCAUUCGUUCUAGUCUCUGCUCAGCUCAGAUCUUUCUGUUAGUUAUCUUAGUUAUGGAGUUACACUCAUGAGCUGAUGAUGUUCACUAACUCUUAGUUUUAUAAUCUAGCUUCAUCAACCCUUCUGUUCGUUGAGGAACUUACUGUUCAGUGAAAGUGAGGAUAUGCACUAGGUAAAAUGCUCUCACUCUCUUUCUCAGGGUUUUAAACAUCAGACACACUUUCAACUAUUAAUAUCUUUCGUUAUGUUUAUGUUUUGUAUUCUAAGAGUUGAAUAAUUAGAUCUUUGUUGUCUUCUUCUCAGGUACUGAUAACACAAGAGAACUAGUUACCUUUUCACGAGUGGGAUAUAUCAAAAGCUUGCUUCUACAAUGGCCAAUCGCGAUUUAAUGCUUGGACAGAACCACAACAUUGGUAUAACCCAAGAUCAAUCACUGGUCCUCGGUCACAACCACACUCUAGAACUCGGUCAAAACCACGACAUGGGCUUAGAACAACCUCAUCACGAACUUGACUUAGCACAUCAACACGAUGACCACGAGCUCGACUUAGGAGAACACAACGAAAACCAAGACGAAGAAGAACAUCACCACCAUCAUCACGAUUACAUGAACGAGAACGAACUCUCAAUUGAUCAAAAGCCUGGACACGAAGACGAAGACGUUGAUCCAGAGAACCAAAUGUUCUCCUUAUCCGGCACCAACGAGAACCUCGAGCUAGCCAUCGACUCAACCCACGAGAUCGAAAUCGACCACCACGGCGAGAUGGUAAUGGUCACCACCCCCGUCCAAGCCCGCGCCCUCUCCGCCGAGUCAACCUACCAGCUAACCGUCGGGCAAGAGUUCCCAGACGUCAAGAGCUGCCGCAGAGCGCUAAGAGACAUGGCCAUCGCUCAGCACUUCGAAAUGCAGACGAUAAAAUC